rnacentral:rRNA from 1 species
UACGUAGGGUGCAAGCGUUGCCCGGAUUUAUUGGGCGUAAAGGGCGCGUAGGCGGCCUUCUAAGUCGGACGUGAAAUCCCUCGGCUCAACCGAGGAACUGCGUCCGAUACUGAAAGGCUUGAAUCCGGGAGAGGGAUGUGGAAUUCCAGGUGUAGCGGUGAGAUGCGUAGAUAUCUGGAGGAACACCGGUGGCGAAGGCGGCAUCCUGGACCGGCAUUGACGCUGAGGCGCGAAAGCUAGGGGAGCAAACGGG